CUUACCUGGCGUAGAGGUUACCGUGAUCAACAAGGCGGUUCCUCCGGAGUGAGGCCCUUCCAUUGCACUACGGUUGGGCUGACCUCUGCGAUUAUCCCUAAUGCGGAUAACUCGGGCGCGUAAUUUUUGGUAGUCGGGACUGCGUACGCGCUGUCCCGGAUUAAGAAAAUAAAAAAAAUUUAAUCACGGAUAUGAAGCUUUUAUAAUGCUUUAGUGAAAGUCGGAUUUUUAUGUCGGCCAUCUUGCUUGGCAAAAUUGACAGGGAGCUGGACUGCGUACGUUAAAAGACGAAUAUGCCCGGAUUGCCCGGCCAAUGAGAAUUGAAGACGGGCCUCAAAACCGAUUGAUACCCUCAUUUAUGUCCGUAAAAUUUCCCGUGCGAUUGGCAUAUUUAUUUUUGUUUUAUUUUCUCUAACCUAGAUUGCAGAUUUUAUUUUAUUUGCUUUUCCUUCUGAAUAAUUUAAUUAUCACCGAUAAUUAUUAUUUAUAUCGAUUUGGCCAAUAUUUGAGUGCUCACAGCAAUCAUAGUGUUUAGCAAAACACUCACGACUCCGUUGUCUAUAAUAUUCGGUUCUACGCUAAUUUUGAGUUCAAAAACAAACAUUUUAGUGUUUCAAUUUCUAGUAAACUGAUAAACUGUGAUUUCUUUACUCUCUAAUUUCUUUUUUAGCUGCUACAGUAUCUGUUUACGAUAAUUAUGGCAAUACUAAGUCAACAAAAUGCAAUCUGCGAAGUCUGUGAGAAGGAAUUUUCAAGCACAUCCACGAGAAACAGACAUCUUAAGAAGUUUUUUAAGAAUUUUUUGCCUAGGAAUACAAGAAACACAUUACAUAUAUGUCGUCCAAUGUGUAUCAACGAUUCCUAGAAAUUUUCUUAUUUUAAUAGUUUAAACAAACAUGUUUUGUUUAAUAUUCACAAAAUAAUGAUUUUUAAAUUUUACGAAUUUUUAAAAAUAUAUCUCUUAUAAAGAACAAAGUAAUAGGAAAGUCGAUUAUGCUUGUCAGACCCAAAACAAAUUUAAGAAUGGAGAAGAACAUAUAUUUUACAAUUGUAACAGGAGCAAUAUCAGAGGAUUUAAUAUCCUAAGGGACAGACCCCUCAAGAAUUUUAGUAAAGGUUUUAAAAAAUGGAUCAGUUGUGAUCAGAAGUGCUAGUUUACAGACCAAACUUGAUGGAUUUAGUUUCUUCUCUACCAUUUUAGUUUUAAGUUGUUGAUAUAAUAUAAUACAUCUUAAUAUAGUAUAGACUCCAUAGUAUAGUUUAUUUUAAAAAUUAUUAUUAUAAAAUUUAAAGUAUAUUUGCAAAAAAUUAAAACAUUUCAGUAAGCCAGUCGACAUUAAGAUAUUUGAUGACAAUUUUUUUAUUUCAAAACUCAUCACAAUGAUUUAUAUAAUUUUGGCUUUGAAGACUACUCAGCAAGUAAGCUGCCUCAAAAUAUUUAUGGAAUAUUUACUUCUUAUGGCCACUAUGAUGAUGCAUCGCCCAUGGCAUUUUAUCAAAACAAUUUUAUCAAUUUUAUCAAACAACCUAAACAGUUAUAUAAAAAUUAAAAUAAAUACACGUAUUUUUCAGGAUUAUAUGUUGAUUUUAAUUGUCGUUAAAUAAAAGAUAAUAUGUUAUUUAUAUGGUGAUUUUUUCUUGAAAAUUGAUAUACUUUGAGUUGUUU